AAGGCGCAGGGGACCUAAUCAAACUACCACUUUCACUCCUGAAGUGAAUCACCCUGAGUUCCACCCCCUCAAGCCUCUGAGAACUAGAGCAUCCCUAACUUCUUAGAAGGGAUGUUUUUACACGUUUGGGUAUUUCUGUUGUUGUAGUUACCUGCUUUUCCCCGUGGCUACAGAGACCUGGGUGGAAAUGGGGGCAAUCCUUCGCAUUACAAGCACCUAGAGCCUGAACUGCUCCCAGAUUGUAAAGGUCGGAACCAAGCGGCAGACCCUGCCCGGCACGCCCUGGAGGAGGGACUUUUGCCAAUCCCUCUCCGCGCGCCAGUUUCCCCCUGCACCAGGAGGAAGCCCUGGGCUUCCAGGUGGAGCUCGCGCAACGAAGACUGUUCCCAGCAGCCCACGACCACCCCUCGGGAGGACGGGCUGAGAGGUCGCAGCAUGUCCCUUGGAAUUCACCGUUUCCCGAAAUUCUCUUCGAAGGGUGAGAAGUGGCUUACUCAGGGCCGCGGGAGCUGAAAGUCCCGCCCGUGAGGCCCAGAGUCGCGGCAGACAGGCAGCCCCGGCCCGGGACGUGGGGCCUGGCACGGAUCCCCGGCUGGGGCUCGCGGUUACCUGUGGCGGAAGCCCGCGGCAGCGGCGGCGGUGGGCGGCAGGACCGUGGGAACUCCUCGCGACGCGCAGCCUCAGAUGCGCCACCUCCUGACGUCCGCCCUGCAGUGAUUGCGGAGCGACACCAGACUCAGGGCUUUAAUGGCCUAGGGCGCUGCGUUGAUUGGUGGAACUUGGGGCGGGCGUGUGUGAACGCCAAUGGGAGGCGGAGCGAGGCGGGGCCGGCGAGCCAGAGCGCCUACAAGUCCCAGCAUGCACGAGCCGGGGUUUUUGGGCCCACAGCCCGCGAACCCUGGGAGAAGCAUGAGCAAUGAAAUGGGGGGUGAGGGCGCCCGGGGUGCGUGGGGCUUCCCUGCAGACGCAGUAAUUCCAGAAGUGCCCGCCGAAGGAUCAAAACCUGCGCGCGGGGCACUUUAACGCAGUGGUUUCCAAACUUGCACUUUGGAAUCCUCUAGGGAAACUUCAGAAAUACUGAUGUCCCUGUGUCGUCUGAGAUGUCGUGAGUUCCUUGGUCCGCACGUGUUCUGGGUUUUGGAAUCUCUCAAGAUCCUCCGUGAAUCGAAUGUGUGUCCUUUUAAUCCUCGAGGCGACCCUGUGAGAAGUAGGUGCUCUUAUUGUGGUCCCCGCUUUACAGUUAGGACGACUGAGGGAGGCUCAGGCAUGGAUGGGCGAAACCUCUGAAUAGGAUGUGUUCAAACAGAAACAGCAGGCUCAAAAUGGAGUCAUUAAUGCUAAGCCCCACACAGCAAACCAGGACUUCCUCUGUAACCUGAUUGCAGCUUCAUCCUCUCGCAGGAGUAGAAUUAUAAACCUGUCUGGAAUUUCCUGAUCAACACUAAUAAGGGUUCAGUAAAUCAAGGAAAUGCUAUCAGUAUUAUCUCUUUUCACAUCUUCGAUCUUCAGCCCCCAAUGAGCAUGAAAGACAUUGGCAAAAGCGACUGUUAUCUUUGGCUGGUAGCGUGGAACCCAUGACUUCCCCGAACCAGGGCUGGAUUGCAUAAAUGCAAAGCAUUUGGUUAAAUGAAAACUGCUGACUGAGGAGCUAAAAAAGAUCAAAACAGGAAGCCUUAAAUGGCUAACAGAGCACUGUAUUUAAGAAGAAGACGCUAGACACCGUCAUGCUUACAGAGCUGAAAAGUGAUUGGGCAGGUCCAGGUGAGGAAAACAACCAAGUUUGGAGGUGCCACAGCAGCAGUCAGGACCCCAACAAGCCAAGCGAACAAGGGACCCUUGGAGAAGUUAAUGAUUCUAGGAGUGGGGCACAGGAAGUAUACAAUAAACCUGCAACAUGCUGUGGUAUCAGAAAGCAAGGAGGUGCUCUCCUGAGAGUGACACGGCAACGGGACAAAGAAGCCAGAUUCUAGGACACUAUGAACAUCACGAUAGUUAGCAGGAGUGACAAAUGGCGCUCGGUUGAAUGACACAGGAAUCCACGAGUCUACAUUGAUAUCCACAAAUGAACGGAUGAGUGAGGGGAAAGAAAAGCACUUCCUGCAGUGGAAUGUUACCCAAUAAAUGUGAGAGGAGUGAUAGCAUCAUAAAAUCACCAUUUGGCAGUCAUUAGUUCAGUCACGAAACAUCGAUGGAUACUAAAUCCAGCAGGUGAACCUUGGGUGACAGACAGGGAUGGCAGGCUUCUCACUGUGUUCCUGCUUGGCGGGGAGGGGAGAGCUCUCUGGUAUCUUCUCCUAAAAGGGGACUAAUCCUAUAUAACUGGGCCCCACUCUUACGACUUCGCUUAACCUUAACUACCUUCCUAUAGGCUCUGUCUUCAAAUAACGGUCACAUCGAAGGUCAGGGUUUCAAUAUAUGAACUCGGGGCACACGAUUCAGUUGUCGCAGAGCAGGAAUUCCUUUCUCCGACAAGGUCCUUCCAGCUAGGCAAAGAAUCCACUUGACCUGAGAAAUGGACAGGAAAAAAUCAAAUUUAAUUCCAUAUGUAUGGGGAAUCCACACAGACAUGGGAAUUCCAAAGACGGGCAGGCAAAAUGAGGUAUGUAUGUCCAUUCUGAAGGAAGGAGAAGAGGGCAGGGGUCUGGGGCUUCAAGGGAAGGAAUGCACCUCAUGAGGCAGUAAAAAAAGCAGACAUUAGGUAACUAGAUAUUUGCCCUGUCAUACACAUAGUUUGCUCCAAUAACAUUUAUCUCUGGUAAUAAACCUUUAUUCUUGGAAAGGCUUUUAAUUUAGAUUCUUGUAUUUAGCUGCUGGAUGGAGAAAGUUUCUCCUGAGUCCGCAGAAUCCCAGCAUCUCAGAGCUGGAAGGGACUGAGGGCAAACACAUUUAACUUCUUUGGGAUUCCUCUGAGCUAUCUCUUGAUGGGUUGCUGGGAAUGAUUGGGUGGGGCUCUGCAUACCUCUUCCCCACUCCUACCCUCUUCAUCCACACCCCUCAAUCAGGACUGCUCCACUGCGACAUAUUUUAUAUAUGGGGCAUAGAUAUAGGAUUUCCUUUAAAGAAAGAAUUCUGUGCAUAACGUACACCUUAAAAACCACUAAUGACCCAUUUUACAGAUGAGGAAACUGAGGAGGCCCUGAGAGAUCAAGGGAGCUGUCCACAACGCCAAAGCAAGGCACAAAAUGCUGUUUGUUGAUACCCAGGCAGGGGCUGUUUCCAGGACAACACAUAGCCUCUUCUCCACCCAGCCUCGUUGUCACUAUAGGGUCAUAUGGGGGUUGGGGACCUCUCAGCAAGGACAAAGACCGGCUAAGGAGUGGCAUGAAUGGGGGCCUAGGAGGUUUCAUCAGGGCCUCAGAGCAGCUUAGCACUCCAGAUGCCAUGGAAAACACAGAAUUGGCCUGCCCCAUUGGGAGGAACUUCCAAACAAGUAUGGGAAUAUGAGUUCCUGUUAAUAAUUCAGGGUCAGGAAAGAUUACAUUCUGUGCUCUAGCAACAAAAGGAUACAGCACUACCCCUUUUACCUGUCAAUCCAGAUAGAAUAGACAUACACACAAACAUACAUAUGUACAUUGUAAGUACUCAGUGCCUCCUGCUGCUAGAAGAUAAAAAUGCACAAAUUUCAUUCUUCAGAUCUGUUCAGCGAGGAAGUAUAACCACAGAACCCAGGAGCUGAAGGAACAUGGAAUCUUCCAAUGAGGGUCACAAAAUUCCUAAGGGAUUCCUGCACCGGCUGGGCAGGUGAUGGACAUGAGGAAUAUUAUUUGAUUCCACGAGGCAGGACCACAAGAACAUGGGGAAUACAUUUAGCCUCCUAGUGUAUUCAAAGUUUAAAAAAAUUGGGGGCGCCUGGGUGGCACAGUGGUUAAGCUUCUGCCUUCGGCUCAGGGCGUGAUCCC